UCUCAAAUCCUGUGAGUGAAAUUUACCUGAGUCCAUGAGGGUGAUAUUGGAUGAAUGUACAGUCUGAAGAUGCAUCCCUUCAGUAUCUUUCAGUCACACCAGGUGUUCUGCAAAAGGGUCCAGUGCUACAAGUUGCUGAGUGACUCUUUUGAGGGGCUGAAUGGCCUUAACUGCACUGAAGUCUGUGGGAGAGGAGUGCAAAAUGCCUUACAGGAUCUUGCCCCACUCUAGAAGAGCCCUCAGAACUCACUUAAUUGGCCAUGAGAGAUAAUCUGAUGACCAAACUUCUCAAAGUACAAGAGCAAGCUAUCUACUUGGAAGAGAGUGUCAAGGUGCAGAGAGAUUGGCCUAAGAGAUAAGUGAGCAAUAAACAGAUCUGCAGAGCUGCAUGGCAAAGUGAUGGAGCAAAGAGGAAGAGGGAAAUGCAUCUUAAACUGGAUGAUACAGAAAACAGAUCAAGAAGAACCAACAUCAGAAUUAAGGGGCUGCCUGAAAAUGCUGAAGGAAGAAACCCAAUCUGGGAGAGGAUGCUGCAGCCAAAUGGGGGCUGAGACCCGAUUGGGACCUUGCUGGCCAGCCUGCCGGAGCUGAAGCCAAAGCCAGGCCCCUGCAGCUGGGCUGUUGCAGCACUAGCAGGGCUGGGAUGCCGGGUCUGCCUCAGGAGUGUGGUGGCUAGAGGACAGAACACAGCAGUCAGAGUGGGCUAGAGCUGGGCCACUGUAGCAGCAGAUGCUUCCAUCUGGCUGCCAGCCCCUCUCACUAUCUGGCUGGGAGUAUGCAUGUGUCUCCUACGGUGCACCCUCAGCCAACCCUUAAAAUGAAGAGAGUGCCCAAGCCAGCUCUUGCCGCAGAGCAGCCAGUACUUACCAGGCUGCACCACCUUACUUUCACCUCUGGUUAAAGGUGUUUAAAAAAAAAGAGACCAUCUUGACAUGAAUAAUUAUGUAUUUUUAAAAUGUUGAAUUAAUUUUUCAUUUUUAAUUUAAAAAGUUGUAUGUAAUUUGGGAAUGACAAAAGAGCCAUAUUUGGCUCAAGUUCCAUAGGUUGCUGACCCCUGCCAUAGGGCAAGAGUCAAGCUUCUAUGGGUAGGAAAUUUUUGUCCAUUACAUUGCAAGAAAAGAAGUCCAAAAGCUAAUGGAAGAGAAAAUGGGUUUAGAGUUCAGCAAAGCACAGUUGUUUGGGUACUGUUUUACUUGUCAUGUUGAUACUUUAACUCCACAAAUGAAGUAAGAGGAAAUACAGAAAAGUGGUGGGAAUUGGGGAGACGGGGUGAAAUAACACAAGUAGCAGCUAUAGAAGUUUACAAACAAGCCAGCCAUAUUUAGGCACACAUAAUGAAUGCAACAUAAUUAGAAACAAGACAUCAGCUACACAAGAGUUCAUGUAAUCAGGCAGCAAGCAUCACAGUAAUUUCAGGUUUUUCAAUAAACUAGUUACUUUAAUUGUCUCUUCCUUUAAAAAGUAAUAUCUUUGAAUGUGAAAGGGCUAACUGAUACCAUGAAAAAGGAAAAAAAAAUCCCUAUAUAGAACUUUAACAAAAACCCACUUCCAGAUUAUUGUACUUCAAGAAACCCAUUUUCAGAUGGGGCAAAUUAUGGACAUGCCAGAACUGGUUUCAACAGAUAUAUUGCGCUUCAGCAAAAGAAAGGAAGACUGGGCACAGUAUUUGCUGAGCAUGUACCUUUUCAGGUUAAAAGAUUUAUAUUGCUGAAAGGCACAAUUUCUGAUUUACUAA